rnacentral:tRNA from 1 species
AGGAUAAUAGUUUAAUCAAAACUUUUUAAUUGCAUUAAAAAAAUAUUUACAUAAAUUUAUCUUU